UUGAACCGAACCAAGAUUCAAAUUUCACCAAUAAGUUUGCCCAAAUCCCGGGCUAAAGCAAACAUAAUUACACAUUUAUUUAAAAUGCGAACGGUAUUCGGCGAAAAGAAAGCAGAUAGUUGACCUUUACCACUCGCUGCAAUCGCCGAAAGUCCUUAGACAAACGGCCAGCUGUGCAAAUGUCAAGACGAUCGGAAGCGAUGUCCUUCCUGGGCAGGACAAACACACACGGACAGCUAUGGCGAAAGAUGGAAUCGAUGAGAAUGCAAAAAUGCAAAGGUACGGCUAAGCCACAUCAUCAAAGCGAAGUCUGGACAAUGGGCAAAGUUCGUCAAAGGAUGUUUGCGCAAGUAAACAUUGGAAACUAUAUGCCAGGAAGAAGGAUAUGAGCUGUGUGUCCCUCGUGUAUGGCAGUGUUAAAUUGAAAAAUUAUGAUAAAUAGCACAAUGGGAUGGGGGAAGUUGCACAACAACCAAACCCACAUCCCACUGAGAGAACGUCUUCGCGACGGUGUGAGUCACAUGCAAAAGGGUAUCAAUACCACGGCAGGACGAAAGAAGGGGUUGCGCCCAAGACCCGACAGAGUGUUGCUAAAGUGUGCACUGGCCUAUAAAGAAGACCCAUUCGCCACGGGAUAUCAUUUACGAUG
ensembl:ncRNA lncRNA:CR46203 long non-coding RNA:CR46203